UUAAUUGAAGCCAAAAAGAGGCAUUUCAUUGUUAAUGAAAACAUUGACUUUAUAGUCCAAUUAAA
rnacentral:tRNA from 1 species